GGGCGCGUGGUGGAACAGGUAUACACGCUGGCCUUAGAAGCCAGUGCCUCCGGGCUUGGGAGUUCGAGUCUCCCCGCGCCCA
rnacentral:tRNA from 1 species